ensembl:lncRNA
GUAAAUGUUAUGUGAGUGACUGAACUACGGAACUGCCCUCUGAGGUGGGACACACGAUCCCUGUCUCAUACAUGGACAAACCCAGGCGUUGAGAGGUCAAAUCAUUUGCCCCAAGUCUCAAAGCCACUAUACAACGUGCCCUGUCUAACUCCAAGGUAAGGGUUUUUCCCACCAUGCAUUUUCAUCAGAUCAGCAUUUAAUUUAAGUACUUUUAUUUAGUGCCGUUUUCCUUAUGGAGAUUGGAUCAGUUUUGACUCCUCCAUUCCUCACUUAGGCUUUUUGUUAAACAUUGGUUCUCAGCCUCUACCCUUGACCCCGAAUUCCCAGGCUGGGGCGGGGCCACCAGUUGCAGGGCAGUGUGGUCAGAGUCAGAGGAGUUCCCAGAGCUCUGGGAACCCAGAGGAGGCCCCUAGUCCAACCCCAUCCAGGGCUCUGGCCGGAGUUCGCUCUGUAAUAAACGGGCCCACCCAAGCCAACAGUCUGAGAUUCCAGAGUGAGAGGAUGGAGGCGUCCUGCAGGAGCGGACUGGAGCCUGCCCCUCUGGGCUUGGAUCCUCAGGCCCCUGGAAAUCAUUGCCCUGCUGGAAGAAAAGGCCCCUGGAAAUCAUUGCCUUGCUUGGAAGCACACACUGGUAACAUUUGCAUAGGACUUUCCUGAGGAGUUGGCGACAAGGAGAGUCUUACUGAAACUUUUCUCUGCGUUUUGGGGGUCAGGUGGAAGCACAUGUGAGGGAAAGCAGGAGUGGAGGUCAGGAGGCUCUCUUUCCUGAGGCAGAUGCCGAGGCCUUGGCUGCAUGAGCAUCCCACGUGGGAAUCCUUCUUCCUGGCUGGCUGGGUCUGCAAGGUCCUUUCCUCAGGUCAAAGCAUUCUAGAUCCAGCAGGAAACCGUUCCUCAUUCUACAGAUGAGGAGAUGGAGGAGCAGAGCAGCGAAGUGACUUGGCCAAGGCCUCCGUGCUGGCAUGCCUUCCACCACACGGAGCAUCAGUGGAGAACUGGCUGGCACAGCUACCGCCUACAUGCCUCAGUUUCUUCACAUAAGAAUGGGGUGCAUUUUAUGGGUCUUUUGCAUACUAUGGGGGGUCAUGAACACAGAAAAAAUGGGUUCUCUGGAAUAAAAGUGGUACUGCACCAAGGGGGCAUGGAUCCCAGCCCCCGUAUUGGGGGAGCCCCCCUAGGAACCGGCAGUAUCAGGGUGUGCUCCAAACAGUGGGGGCCCUGAGAAGACAUAGGUAGGGGUGCAUCCAGAGGCUGAGGGUGGACCUGGCCUGUGCCGCUCCUUUCUUACUGACACGGUGCCACUUGGUGCUUUGUGGCAAGCAUGUUCUGGUUCAUGGAGCCCCUGAGAAGGUGGUGGGUGGAGUAAAUGAGGUGACCGAGGGAGGGAGAAGAUCCCAGGCCACCAAAAGAUCUCUGAACCAAGCAGAUCCUGAUCCUGGAGGGAGUUUUCAGAUAAUGGUUCAAGUGCGGAGGUACCUCCUAUCACCAGCUCCCAGCUCCCCAGUCUUCCUUCGAAUGGGGGUAAAAGGUGCCGAGAAAGGAACAGCUUUCCACUCUGAAGGCAAAGAGAAGAAAUCAUCCAAUUACUGCUAACAAAUAAUAAUCCCCAAAAUGUCUGGGUGUUCGCUGCAUGUCAGACACUGAGGAUUUUACGUGAAUCGUGUUAUCAAAGCCUCACGAUGAUCCCAUGACAGCAUUAUUUUUGCUCCCAUCUUUCGUAAGAGAAAAUGUGACAAACGCAGCACUCUGUUUCCAC